rnacentral:rRNA from 1 species
UACGAAGGGAGCUAGCGUUGUUCGGAAUCACUGGGCGUAAAGCGCACGUAGGCGGAUGUGUCAGUCAGGGGUGAAAUCCCGGAGCUCAACUUCGGAACUGCCCUUGAUACAGCACGUCUUGAGUCCGGAAGAGGUGGGUGGAAUUCCUAGUGUAGAGGUGAAAUUCGUAGAUAUUAGGAAGAACACCGGUGGCGAAGGCGGCCCACUGGUCCGGUACUGACGCUGAGGUGCGAAAGCGUGGG